CGUACCUUCCAUCCAAGCCGUCUCUGUCUUUAACAGCAUUACACUCAUCCCAUUCUGAGGCGCUAGCACCAAUAUAGAAGGAUGUUAAAAUAGAACAACCAGCAGGAAUCAGUAUGAGUAAGCAACGUGUUGACCACUGUUUAUUAGAUAUUUAGUUAGCCAUAAAACGCUUUGUACUGACGAUUCCAAUGACAGUACUAUAGCCAGCAUCUCGGCUGGUUUUCUAUCACUAUAUCCUUAACUAUCUGUACUUUAAGUAAGCCAGUUCCCAGACUCCAGUAGACACUAGCACCAGACCGUUGCCCUCUAAUCCUCCCUCACAGUUCUCAGGUAGGACCUAAAGACAAACGGCUCAUACCGUUUUUAUGAAAGUUUUGCUUGCAGGUCCAAUGCGGCCAUUAAUCACCAACCAAUCCCGAAUCGGUGUGCUCUUAUCUCCCGCCCUAUUGCCGACACCUUAUUGGUGUAGGACGCCGGGCGGUGCUGCCAUUCAUGACCUACAUAAAUAAUUAGAAGGAGACAAUGAGAGACAGCAGAGUGAGGUUAGGGUUAGGGUUAGGGUGAAGAGAAUAGGUUGGGGUUAGGUUAGGGUGAAGAGAAUAGGUUAGGGUUAGGGUUAGAGUGAGGGGUGAAGAGAGUAGUUUAGGGUUAGGGUUAGGGUUAGAGUGAGGUGUGAAGAGAGUUGUUUAGGGUUAGAGUGAGUGGGGUGAAGAGAGUAAUUUAGGGUUUGGGAGG
ensembl:lncRNA